UUAGGUUGUUGUCGUGACUUUUCUACCAAACUCAUCCAAAGUGCAAUAUUGUUGUGUGAUUUUAAUUUAUUCACGUGCUUUAGAUAGAUGACAACACAAAUUACUAUCAAGAUAGAUAAACAGAAGCUAAAUUUUAUUUACAAUUUAAGUAUCCAAAUAGUGUAUGCUUUGUCAUUACAUAAGUCAUAAUUCAACCGACUAGAUCUACAACAACCUAUUCUCGGGAACCAGGUUCUGUAACCAACAUCCUACAGACACUUGGCUGGCCAACACUAGCAACACGCAGACAAGUAGCCAGGCUCAUACUCCUAUAUUAGAUACUGCAUGGAGAAGCAUCAGUCAUUAUCCCAGAUUACAUCAGGAGACCAAUUGUAACAACCAGACAAUACCACAGGCACAGAGACUGGUUUUCCAGAGUCAGCACUUCAACGGAUGCCUAUAAAUACAGUUUCACCAAUUACCUGAAAGUGCCAUCCAAGCCCCCACAACAGACGCCUUCCGGGUCUGUGUGUGGCAGUUCCUGGCGUAACUAUUGAUACCUGAUUUUAACCCUGUACAGUUGUUGCAAACUCACAUAAUUUUAUUUGAUUUUGUUCCUGUAAAUACACAAGUUUUUGUUUAUUUUUAACUUGGCGUGUACUGGUUGACACACCCGCACAGUAUAUCUGUGUUAUGGAAAUUUCAACUGCAGAUUAACCACAAAAUAUAGAAGAAGAAGUACAAUAAACACUAGACAACAGGAAUGACAGGAUAUAUCUUCUGGGGGAUGGAUGGUAACUGAAUCAAUACAAAUAGCCUCAUUGAAUUUGAAAAAGCUGCAAACGAUAUCAGUAACAAAAGAUUGUUAGUGUGCAGUGUGCAGACAGUGGUUAAACAGAAGUUAACAUUCUAUCAGUUUUGGGAUUUUACAAUCAGCUAGAGGAAAUAAUAGGAGAAAAAGGGACCUGUGUGGUAAAAACUUCCUAAAAGUCGUCCUUUAUGUGUUCAACUUUUUCUUUUGGCUGACAGCCCAGUUAGCUUUCCUAGCAUUAGGGUUAUAUAUCAAGUUCCAGAAGCAUACCUAUAUCAGUCUGCUAGGGAGCAUGACUUUCCCUUUGGCAUCAUACUUGCUACUAGGAACAGGAGCCUUUAUUAUCUUGUCAGGAAUCAUUAGUUGUACUGGGACAUGUAUAGAAAAUAGAUGUUUUAUGGUUAUGGUUGGAAGAGACUGAUGAACUAUACAUAUCUGGGAUACAGAAUCAAUGAAACAUCGUCAGUACUGAAAGGUCAACAUCAAAGAGGGGUCUGUGCUGUAGACUUCUCAGGUAUUUAUUGUUUGUUCAUUUUCAAUCUUAAUACAAAAAAUUUAUGCAGAUUGAAACAUGACAGGAUAUUUUUGGUGGUUAACCUUGUAAUGAUUUUGACUGGAACAAAAGAAUGGAUGUCAGGAAAAUCAGGAAAAUAAGAUUAUAAGUACAGCUAGUAUGGGAAUAAAACCUGGAAUUUUAUCACCAGAUCUGGUUGGACUUGGAUAUUUGUUGAUUUGUUACUGCCUGAAAAUUAUCUACUACAGUGAUACUUAAUUUAUUGCCACCUUUUGGAACAUGUAAAAUACUAUCGACAAGUCAGGAUGGCAGUAUAUCAAAGUAGAAAUUUAUAUAAAAACUGCACACAUUUGAGAAAAGUUGACUCUAGGAUUAUUCUGUAAAUUCGUAUUGGCAUGCGUUGGCACUGGACACAUCCAUCUAGAACACCAAUACCAAUAUUUAAUAUUCAAAUAGUUCCAGUGUAAUGCUGUGUGUUAUUCAAGAAAUAGAGUUAAUUAAUUGUCUAUACAAUUUUAUACCCUUAAAGGACACUUGCUGUGACAAAACUCCUGCAACUUUUAUUCUAUUGUACUUUCAAUAUUCGCAUUGCGCAGGCGCAUGCAAAAUCGAUUGUUAUAUAUAGUAAUCCAGCGUACAUCCAAACGUGUAGAGCUGAUUUUAACUUGGGGCCUACUAUAAAUAAUAAAAACGAAUGGCAAUACAACUAUAUCAAAGUAAGCAGAUAUAUAUUCCUUGAUAAUUAUCAGAUGUAGGCUUAUCAGACUUUUCUUCCCCGAUCUUCCUGAUUCACAGCGGGAGCUUUGCGUGUAUAUAGCCUUUGAUUUUCAUAUAGUGUGAACAAUGUAUUUCUUCCACUGA